UGGGGAAUCUUGCACAAUGGGGGAAACCCUGAUGCAGCGACGCCGCGUGAGUGAUGAAGCCCUUCGGGGUGUAAAGCUCUUUCGGCAGGGAAGAUGAUGACGGUACCUGCAGAAGCAGCUGCGGCUAACUACGUGCCAGCAGCCGCGGUAAUACGUAGGCAGCAAGCGUUGUUCGGAGUUACUGGGCGUAAAGGGUGUGUAGGCGGUUCUUUAAGUUUGUCGUGAAAUCUCCCGGCUCAACCGGGAGGGUGCGGCGAAUACUGAGGAGCUAGAGUGCGGGAGAGGAGAGUGGAAUUCCUGGUGUAGCGGUGAAAUGCGUAGAUAUCAGGAGGAACACCGGUGGUGUAAACGGCUCUCUGGACCGUAACUGACGCUGAGACACGAAAGCGUGGGUAGCAAACAG
rnacentral:rRNA from 1 species